rnacentral:tRNA from 1 species
GUGGCUCAAAGGAGUAGGGCACUGGCCCUAAAUGCCAGAGGUACUGGGUUCAACCCAGC